AUUGAACGCUGGCGGCAUGCCUUACACAUGCAAGUCGAACGGCAGCACGGGUGCUCGCACCUGGUGGCGAGUGGCGAACGGGUGAGUAAUAUAUCGGAACGUACCUUAUUGUGGGGGAUAACGCAGCGAAAGCUGUGCUAAUACCGCAUAAUCCCUAAGGGGGAAAGCGGGGGACCGUAAGGCCUCGCGCAAUUAGAGCGGCCGAUACCUGAUUAGCUAGUUGGUGAGGUAAAGGCUCACCAAGGCAACGAUCAGUAGCUGGUCUGAGAGGACGAUCAGCCACACUGGGACUGAGACACGGCCCAGACUCCUACGGGAGGCAGCGGUGGGGAAUUUUGGACAAUGGGGGCAACCCUGAUCCAGCAAUGCCGCGUGAGUGAAGAAGGCCUUCGGGUUGUAAAGCUCUUUUGUCAGGGAAGAAACAGCAGCUCUAACACAGUUUGCGAAUGACGGUACCUGAAGAAUAAGCACCGGCUAACUACGUGCCAGCAGCCGCCGUAA
rnacentral:rRNA from 1 species